rnacentral:rRNA from 1 species
GUGGGGAAUUUUGGACAAUGGGGGAAACCCUGAUCCAGCCAUGCCGCGUGCAGGAUGAAGGUCUUCGGAUUGUAAACUGCUUUUGUCAGGGACGAAAAGGUUUCGGCUAAUACCCGGAACUGCUGACGGUACCUGAAGAAUAAGCACCGGCUAACUACGUGCCAGCAGCCGCGGUAAUACGUAGGGUGCAAGCGUUAAUCGGAAUUACUGGGCGUAAAGCGUGCGCAGGCGGUUCCGUAAGAUAGAUGUGAAAUCCCCGGGCUUAACCUGGGAAUUGCAUUUAUGACUGCGGGACUGGAGUUUAUCAGAGGGGGGUGGAAUUCCAAGUGUAGCAGUGAAAUGCGUAGAUAUUUGGAAGAACACCAAUGGCGAAGGCAGCCCCCUGGGAUACGACUGACGCUCAUGCACGAAAGCGUGGGGAGCAAACAGGAUUAGAUACCCUAGUAGUCC